GACGAACGCUGGCGGCGUGCCUAAUACAUGCAAGUAGAACGCUGAAGAGAGGAGCUUGCUCUUCUUGGAUGAGUUGCGAACGGGUGAGUAACGCGUAGGUAACCUGCCUUGUAGCGGGGGAUAACUAUUGGAAACGAUAGCUAAUACCGCAUAACAAUGGAUGACACAUGUCAUUUAUUUGAAAGGGGCAAUUGCUCCACUACAAGAUGGACCUGCGUUGUAUUAGCUAGUAGGUGAGGUAAUGGCUCACCUAGGCGACGAUACAUAGCCGACCUGAGAGGGUGAUCGGCCACACUGGGACUGAGACACGGCCCAGACUCCUACGGGAGGCAGCAGUAGGGAAUCUUCGGCAAUGGGGGCAACCCUGACCGAGCAACGCCGCGUGAGUGAAGAAGGUUUUCGGAUCGUAAAGCUCUGUUGUAAGUCAAGAACGGGUGUGAGAGUGGAAAGUUCACACUGUGACGGUAGCUUACCAGAAAGAGACGGCUAACUACGUG
rnacentral:rRNA from 1 species